GAUGAACGCUAGCUACAGGCUUAACACAUGCAAGUCGAGGGGUAACGAGAGGAAAGCUUGCUUUCCUUGUCGACGACCGGCGCACGGGUGAGUAACGCGUAUCCAACCUGCCCCCAACUAAGGAAUAACCUUGCGAAAGUAAGACUAAUACCUUAUAAUUUCCUCAGAUGACAUCUGACGAGGAAUAAAGAUUUAUCGGUUGUGGAUGGGGAUGCGUCUGAUUAGCUUGUUGGCGGGGUAACAGCCCACCAAGGCAACGAUCAGUAUGGGUUCUGAGAGGAAGGUCCCCCACAUUGGAACUGAGACACGGUCCAAACUCCUACGGGAGGCAGCAGUGAGGAAUAUUGGUCAAUGGGCGGAAGCCUGAACCAGCCAAGUAGCGUGCAGGAUGACGGCCCUAUGGGUUGUAAACUGCUUUUAUACAGGAAUAAAGUUAGCCACGUGUGGUUAUUUGUAGGUACUGUGUGAAUAAGGACCGGCUAAUUCCGUGCCAGCCGCCGCCGUAA
rnacentral:rRNA from 1 species